rnacentral:rRNA from 1 species
CCUACGGGAGGCAGCAGUGAGGAAUAUUGGUCAAUGGACGCAAGUCUGAAGCAGCCAUGCCGCGUGCGGGAAGACGGCUCUAUGUAUUGUAAACUUCUUUUGUACGGUAGUAAACACAGAUACGUGUAUCAGUAUGAACUUGUCUUCCACGUCAGGAUCGGCUAACUACGACCCAGCAGCCACGGUAAUACGGAGGAUGCAGGCGUUAUCCGGAUUUACUAGGUUUAAAGGGUGCGUAGGCGGUCGGGUAAGUUAGAAGUGAAAUCCCGAGGCUAAACUUCGGAAUUGCAUCGGAUACUGUUCGGCUAGAGAGUAGUUGAGGUAGGCGGAAUGUAUGGUGUAGCGGUGAAAUGCGUAGAGAUCAUACAGAACACCGAUUGCGAAGGCAGCUUACCAAGCUACUUCUGACGUUGAGGCACGAAAGCGUGGGGAGCAAACAGGAGUAGAUACCCGUGUAGUC